rnacentral:rRNA from 1 species
GACGAACGCUGGCGGCGUGCCUAAUACAUGCAAGUCGAACGGAGUGGCGAACGGGUGAGUAAUGUAUCGGAACGUGCCCAGUAGCGGGGGAUAACUACGCGAAAGCGUAGCUAAUACCGCAUACUAUUGGAGCGUCCGAGAUCGGAUUAGCUAGUUGGGGGGGUAACGGCUCACCAAGGCGACGCUCCGUAGCUGGUUUGAGAGGACGACCAGCCACACUGCAACUGAGACACGGCCCAGACUCCUACGGGAGGCAGCAGUGGGGAAUUUUGGACAAUGGGGGAAACCCUGAUCCAGACAUCCCGCGUGUGGGAUGAAGGCCUUCGGGUUGUAAAGCACUUUUGGCAGGAAAUCGGUACCUGAAGAAUAAGCACCGGCUAACUACGUGCCAGCAGCCGCGGUAAUAC